rnacentral:rRNA from 1 species
UACGGAGGGUGCAAGCGUUAUCCGGAUUCACUGGGUUUAAAGGGUGCGUAGGUGGAAUUAUAAGUCAGUGGUGAAAGCCCCGAGCUCAACUCGGGAAUUGCCAUUGAUACUGUUUUUCUUGAGUACGAUUGAGGUGAGUAGAAUAUGUCAUGUAGUGGUGAAAUACUUAGAUAUGACAUAGAAUACCGAUUGCGAAGGCAGCUCACUAAAUCGUAACUGACGCUGAGGCACGAAAGCGUGGGGAUCAAACAGG